CCCGGUUUCGACCGGCGCGCACCUGGGGCUGAGCCGGGUGCGCGCGGGGGUCGGGUCUGGAACUGCCCUCGAAUCGACGGGAUUUCUCUGGCUGUCGUUUGCGCUGCAUUUAUCCGAAUAAAUCCAGCUCGCAGGCAUCCUGCAAGAAACGGCUCCCGGCUCGCGUGUACGCCGACACCUUGGCCCAACGCAGGACUCGAGGUGGCUUCUAGUGCCCGGGUGGCUGCAAGUCUGCCCUCCGAGGGAGGCUGGACAAGCGGCGCCCCCAGGUCGAGCGGCCUCUCGCUGCCUGGCAGUGCCUGGCAGCCCCCACCCCUGCCAGUGCUUCGGAAACCUGCCUGGCCAGGUUCGCCCGCGGUGAAAAAUGAAAGCAAAUUCCCCAACAGAGGUAGCCGGAACUUUCCUCGACGAAGGCUCCCUCCUGCGCCUGUGUCUGGAGAACCCCCAGAGCGCUGCAAGUUAGCAAGAGAGAUUCGAUGGCGGCUCUGGAAGGCGCACGAAGGGUGGGGCGGGGGAGCAAAGAGGCCACUGGGUGACCCAGCCUGGCCCGGGGUGAAACGCUAGAGAAGGCGCCUCGCCUUCCUUAUUUCAAUGCAACUCCUCGGCCCCAGACGGUAAAAAUAGUUUCCAAGCUGCCGCGGACGCCCAGGAUGUGUUUGCAGAGAUCAAACUGGGGAGGAGGCAGCUUUGUGAAAGUUGCAGAAAGAUUAGCCGAGAAGCGUCCGCCCGGCGGGGCUCAAGAAAGCUUGGGGACAGCUCCAUGUUCCUUGGGGCGGAAUGGCCCAAGAAUUGGCCUGGGUAACCCCCUGCCCAGUUCUCUGUCCUCACUUCGAGCCAGUGCUUAAAUAACUUCCCGCCGCCUGCCCUGCAAACUUCCCAGCGCGGCGCCGUUGAGGCCAGGACACAGCAAAGGCUAGCAAAACCCCGCCGCGGCGCGCUCGGCCCCAGCCCUGAGAGGCUGCGCGGGUGGGAGGACCAGUGUGGUUUCUGCUCCCACUCGGCUGCCCAGACCCUCAAGACCGAUCCCCCAACUCCUGGGAGCGGGUGCUUCCCUCUGGGAGCCGAGAUCUUGCGGGGCCAGCGAGGGCGCAAAGUGCGCGCGCUGGCCCGCGCGGGGGCGGCCGC
rnacentral:antisense_RNA from 1 species